rnacentral:rRNA from 1 species
GAUGAACGCUAGCGGCAGGCUUAAUACAUGCAAGUUGAGGGGCAGCAUGAUAUACGCGAGUAUAUUGAUGGCGACCGGCGGACGGGUGAGUAAUAGGUAGGAGACCUACCUCAUACAGGGGGAUAGCAUAGAGAAAUCUGUGGUAAUACCCCAUGAGGUUAUAUGAAUAGAGGCAUAUAAUCAAAGCAUAAGCGAUUAUGCGGUAUGAGAGGGGCCUACUGACCAUUAGCUAGUUGGUGAGGUAAGGGCUCACCAAGGCGAAGAUGGUUAGGGGUUUUGAGAGAGAGACCCCCCACAUUGGAACUGAGAGACGGUCCAGACUCCUACGGGAGGCAGCAGUAGGGAAUAUUGGGCAAUGGGCGAAAGCCUGACCCAGCCAUGCCGCGUGAAGGAAGACGGCCUUAUGGGUUGUAAACUUCUUUACUACGCGAAUAGAGGUUAGUACGAGAUACUAAUAGGAAGGUAGUGUAGUAAAAAGCAACCGGGCUAACUCCGUGACC